AUGGUAGGAAAUUCAUAUCCUGAAUCAUUGAUACCUUUAUUUUAUAACUUGCUGCCAUUGAUUUUUUUUCUCUUUUAUUUUCUCCGAUUCAGUGCUGCCUGCUGUGAAAGACGGGAUGGCUGCAUGUGCGAGGGCCUGACAUCAUCUAUCAGGGUGGUGCCUGCAUGGAAGCCAAACAAAACUCUCUGGAGCUUUCCGAAGACUCGGGUUGCCUGUGGAGAGAUGACUGUGAUGGCUGCCAAACUGAUUCGAGGCUUGUUGAUGCAGAGGAGGUGACUGCUGGUGCCCGUGUCUGGUGUAGACUACUCCGCUCCUUGGUCCUUAAUGUAUGAGCAGCAAUUGCUCUAAGUGUUACAAGAUCUGUUUACUGCUCUGGGAUAUUAUUAACUUUAAAAAAAGGAUGCCUGUGUGGAGAAAACAACCUUACCUGACAACUUUGAUGUAAGAAGAGCCUUCUCCCUUUGACUGCUCCAGCGACGCUGCGGCGUGAUGUGGGUGCGCUCAACCCUUUCAUCCCUUCAGUCAGUGCUAUAUAACAUUUACAUGUCUCAGAAAUAUGACAUAUGUACAGUACACGUGUGAGAGGGUGGGUAGACUAGUCUUUCAAAGAUUAUUCAAAAAAGCAGGAUGUUUUUGUCAACCGGGAGAGAUUAGAGUACUUUAUUUUACAGCUAGAGCAGAGAAAUAUUUUUCAUGUGAUUAGAAAAAAACGUUAUUAUUAAAAUACUUAUUUACUUAUUCAUUUAAAUUAAUGCAGACCUAUUCCUGACCGGAAGUGGUACUGAGGGGCCAGGCUGCGCCCCGUGAGGGGGCCGCCGGAACCCUCUGGAACCUUCUGGAAGCGGCCGGGGCCUCUCCUCACAGAGCCCCACGGCCGAUGCCUGGAGCCCUGCAGAGCCCAGGAGGACGGAUCCUGUCCCAGGGAGCACAAAGGAGCUGCUUUGUGAACGCCAGCAGGUAUCUCCCAAACGAAGGAGGCCUUAGGUGGGCGGAGAGGGUAACAAAUGCAGGGAGCUGUGAGAUGCUUGUGGGUCAAGGGGACUCAUGUUUCUGCUGAGCAGUCGGGUGUAUCUUCACCUUCUGUAACCUCAGCUGGAGCCUUUGCUGUCAUGCUUUCCCCCUGCUAAACCCUUGCUUUUGAACCUUAAGAGAAAUCUUUACGGUGGUCAGUAAAUCCUAAUGUUGUCCUUGUUCUGUUUUAUGAGAUUUCCAGUGACACGUGGCUUCGGAGAUUUGCCACUUGGUGGAUCUAACAGCUCUGAGGACAUAGUGGACUUGGGAUGGGGCAAUAUCAGCUCUCCCUGUUUUGUGUAAAUGAACUUCAGAUUCUCUAUGUUAACAUGCUAAUAAGGAAAUCUUGUGUUCCCACACUGUUCUUCUCACACUGCUGACCUGACCUCUUUAAUCCUAGCUUUCCUGAAGGAAAAGCUGAUCCAUCAGGCCUCCUGUAUCUAAAAUGGGAUGAAAGGAAAUGAUGGACCUAUUUCUAUGCUGGUGUUUCUCUGGUACCUCAAGCUGUCUUGUUCUUUUUGUAUUCAUCUCUCAUUUCCCUGGGAAGGAAAAAAAAGGAAGGAAAAAAAAAACUAGAUGUGAGGGCUCAAAUCACUGAAGAUGAGAAACAGCAAAAGGAAAUAAAGAGGUCACACACCUAAGUUAGCUUAUGAUU
rnacentral:lncRNA from 1 species